AGCCUGCCCAGUGACAAAGUUUAACGGCCGCGGUAUUCUGACCGUGCGAAGGUAGCAUAAUCACUUGUUCUUUAAAUGGGGACUUGUAUCAAUGGCAUCACGAGGGCCAUACUGUCUCCUUUUUCCAAUCAGUGAAACUGAUCUUCCCGUGAAGAAGCGGGAAUUAACCUAUAAGACGAGAAGACCCCAUGGAGCUUUAAACCCAACAACAACUCUUAAUAAUUAAACCACAAAAAUUAACGAGACCCUGAAUUGUUGGUUUUAGGUUGGGGUGACCGCGGAGCACAAAUUAACCUCCACGACGAACGGGACUAAACCCUUAUCCAAGAACCACCACUCUAAGAAUCAGCAUACUGACUUCUAAUGAUCCGACCACUCGAUCAACGRACCAAGUUACCCUGGGGAUAACAGCGCUAUCCA
rnacentral:rRNA from 1 species